AUUGAACGCUGGCGGCAGGCUUAACACAUGCAAGUCGAGCGGAGAUGAGGUGCUUGCACCUUAUCUUAGCGGCGGACGGGUGAGUAAUGCUUAGGAAUCUGCCUAUUAGUGGGGGACAACAUUCCGAAAGGAAUGCUAAUACCGCAUACGUCCUACGGGAGAAAGCAGGGGAUCUUCGGACCUCGCGCUGACAGAUGAGCCUAAGUCGGAUUAGCUAGUUGGUGGGGUAAAGGCCUACCAAGGCGACGAUCUGUAGCGGGUCUGAGAGGAUGAUCCGCCACACUGGGACUGAGACACGGCCCAGACUCCUACGGGAGGCAGCAGUGGGGAAUAUUGGACAAUGGGGGGAACCCUGAUCCAGCCAUGCCGCGUGUGUGAAGAAGGCCUUAUGGUUGUAAAGCACUUUAAGCGAGGAGGAGGCUACUGAGACUAAUACUCUUGGAUAGUGGACGUUACUCGCAGAAUAAGCACCGGCUAACUCUGUGCCAGCCGCCGCCGUAAAAC
rnacentral:rRNA from 1 species